UUAAACCGAAAGAGAAUCGCAAGAGGCGUCUGCAUUAAAAUUACUUUUGCAAUCAGUCUUAAUUCAUCGGGGCUCCGCGAGAAUGCAAUAAAAAGAAUACCGCAGGACGAAGCUACUCGAUGAUCUCAGGUACGUCUGGAUAGCCCCAAGAAUGACUCAGGAACAAGUUAGGAAGGGAAAACCGUCGGCUACUAUCCCGAACAGGACAAAAGGCAACCGCGGAGUCGAGCCGGUUGCACCGACGUCGGUUAGCCUUUAAUCUCUCAUCUGUAUCUUUAUUAUGGCUACAAUUGUACGACGCAGGAUUGUGUGUAAUGGAAGAGGAUAUCGCUAGCCGAUUGAAUAGCCAAUCAAAGCGAUCGAUACAGCUGAUCAACCCCAUGUCGUUUGCACUGACGUUAGCUGGAAACUAUUAUCUAGUGACAAUAUGUUUCGUAAACUAGCUAAAUUGGAAUUAUUUGAAGUGGAAAAAAAACAAAGUAUCCGUGAUAAAAAGACAGUGCAGAAAAGUGGAGCUAAAUAGGAUCUAUAUACGCUAAUGAGAGAUGCAAUCAAAAAAGGGCAAUUGCCAGCUAGAGGUGGAGACCCAUCAUCACACAAUCGUUGCGACCGGCUCUAACGGGCAAAUCCGACGUUAUUAGAGUCGCGAUCGAAGCCGCGCUCGGCAGGACGCAAGGAAGAAAAUCUGGCG